ensembl:lncRNA
GGGAACUGCAGAAAUGACUACUUUGGUGCUGGGGUCCCUUCCCCCUCUGCCUGUGGUGUUGGAGGUCAGAGGGGAGAUGGAUCAGGAUCUUUUCCCAUGAGUCAGCUCUUUGCAUCAGCUCUGUGUCUCUUCUUGCCCUCGAAGCUGAACACUCGUCAACACUUCGCCAUGCCUACGGCUGCCCUGAACCACAUCUAGUUUCCUCUCCAGCUGGUCCCCUGGUCCCCUCAGAGAGUUGUCCCCUUUGGCCAUGGGACUAACUGUAUUACCGUGGACAGUGAUCCUGCACGCUUGCUCUAGGGAUCCCAAAACCUUCUGAAAGAGACCACACCCUUAUGGGGCAGGCGG